CCUACGGGAGGCUGCAGUGAGGAAUAUUGCGCAAUGGGGGAAACCCUGACGCAGCGACGCCGCGUGGAGGAAGAAGGUUUUCGGAUUGUAAACUCCUGUCAGUUGGGAAGCGGUACCAACUGAGGAAGCUUCGGCUAACUACGUGCCAGCAGCCGCGGUAAGACGUAGGGAGCGAGCGUUGUCCGGAAUUACUGGGCGUAAAGAGCUCGUAGGCGGGACCGUAAGUCCAAGAGGAAAUCUCAAGGCUCAACUUUGGGGCUUUCUUGGAUACUGCGGUUCUUGAGGAUAUCAGAGGAAAGUAGAAUUCCCGGUGUAGCGGUGAAAUGCGUAGAUAUCGGGAGGAAUACCAGUGGCGAAGGCGACUUUCUGGGAUAUCCUGACGCUGAGGAGCGAAAGCGUGGGGAGCAAACGGGAUUAGAUACCCUAGUAGUC
rnacentral:rRNA from 1 species